rnacentral:rRNA from 1 species
UACGGAGGGUGCAAGCGUUAUCCGGAUUCACUGGGUUUAAAGGGUGCGUAGGUGGGCAGGUAAGUCAGUGGUGAAAUCUUUGGGCUUAACCCGAAAACUGCCAUUGAUACUAUCUGCCUUGAAUGUUGUGGAGGUGAGCGGAAUAUGUCAUGUAGCGGUGAAAUGCUUAGAUAUGACAUAGAACAUCGAUUGCGAAGGCAGCUCGCUACGCAAAUAUUGACACUGAGGCACGAAAGCGUGGGGAUCAAACAGG